GAUGAACGCUGGCGGCGUGCCUAAUACAUGCAAGUCGAGCGAACAGAUGAGGAGCUUGCUCCUCUGACGUUAGCGGCGGACGGGUGAGUAACACGUGGAUAACCUACCUAUAAGACUGGGAUAACUUCGGGAAACCGGAGCUAAUACCGGAUAAUAUAUUGAACCGCAUGGUUCAAUAGUGAAAGACGGUUUUGCUGUCACUUAUAGAUGGAUCCGCGCCGCAUUAGCUAGUUGGUAAGGUAACGGCUUACCAAGGCAACGAUGCGUAGCCGACCUGAGAGAGUGAUCGGCCACACUGGAACUGAGACACGGUCCAGACGCCUACGGGAGGCAGCAGUAGGGAAUCUUCCGCAAUGGGCGAAAGCUUGACGGAGCAACGCCGCGUGAGUGAUGAAGGUCUUCGGAUCGUAAAACUCUGUUAUUAGGGAAGAACAAAUGUGUAAGUAACUAUGCACGUCUUGACGGUACCUAAUCAGAAAGCCACGGCUAACUACGUG
rnacentral:rRNA from 1 species